rnacentral:rRNA from 1 species
UAGGGAAUAUUGGGCAAUGGAGGCGACUCUGACCCAGCCAUGCCGCGUGCAGGAAGAAGGCGCUACGCGUUGUAAACUGCUUUUUUUCGGGAAGAAAAAGCUUCUGCGGAAGUCACUGACGGUACCGAAGGAAUCAGCACCGGCUAACUCCGUGCCAGCAGCCGCGGUAAUACGGAGGGUGCAAGCGUUGUCCGGAUUCAUUGGGUUUAAAGGGUGCGCAGGCGGGCGAUUAAGUCAGGGGUGAAAGACGGUUGCUCAACAAUCGCAGUGCCUUUGAUACUGGUUGUCUUGGGUGACCUUGAGGUAGGCGGAAUGGGUGGUGUAGCGGUGAAAUGCAUAGAUACCACCCAGAACUCCGAUUGCGAAGGCAGCCUACUGGAGGUUCACCGACGCUCAGGCACGAAAGCGUGGGGAUCAAACAGGAUUAGAUACCCCUGUAGUCC